rnacentral:rRNA from 1 species
UACGGGGGGGGCAAGCGUUGUUCGGAAUUACUGGGCGUAAAGGGCUCGUAGGUGGCCAACUAAGUCGGACGUGAAAUCCCUCGGCUUAACCGGGGAACUGCGUCCGAUACUGGUUGGCUUGAGUUUGGGAGAGGGAUGCGGAAUUCCAGGUGUAGCGGUGAAAUGCGUAGAUAUCUGGAGGAACACCGGUGGCGAAGGCGGCUCUCUGGUCCACAACUGACGCUGAGGUGCGAAAGCUAGGGGAGCAAACGGG